CUCCAUGUCUUGGUAGUGUGGCCUAAUGUAGUAGAUGUCCUGUGGCAUCCAGUGGCACAGCCUCCCUAUCACCCAAGGUGGAUACUGAAGGUAUGCUCUUUGUGUGGGGCUGAGUACACCUUCCUUGUGUAGUUAAGUUUUAGUUGCCCUUG